rnacentral:rRNA from 1 species
CCUACGGGUGGCAGCAGUGAGGAAUAUUGGUCAAUGGGCGAAAGCCUGAACCAGCCAAGUCGCGUGAGGGAUGAAGGCUCUAUGGAUUGUAAACCUCUUUUGUCAGGGAAUAAAGUGUGGGACGUGUCCUGUAUUGUGUGUAUCUUAUGAAUAAGGAUCGGCUAACUCCGUGCGAGCAGCCGCGGUAAUACGGAGGAUCCGAGCGUUAUCCGGAUUUAUUGGGUUUAAAGGGUGCGUAGGCGGCCUUUUAAGUCAGCGGUUAAAGUCUGGGGCUCAACCCUAGGAGUGCCGUUGAAACUGGGAGGCUUGAGUAUGUUUGAGGCACGCGGAAUGCGUGGUGUAGCGGUGAAAUGCUUAGAUAUCACGCAGAACCCCGAUUGCGAAGGCAGCCUGCCAGCCCAUGACUGACGCUGAUGCACGAAAGCGUGGGGAUCAAACAGGAUUAGAUACCCGAGUAGUC